rnacentral:tRNA from 1 species
GGUUCCGUAGCUCAGCUGGAUAGAGCAACUGCCUUCUAAGCAGUAGGUCUUGCGUUCGAAUCGCAAUGGAAUCA